GCGUGAAUGGCGGAAUGGUAGACGCAGUGGACUCAAAAUCCACCGGUUAGUAGCCGUGCGGGUUCAAGUCCCGCUUCGCGCACCA
rnacentral:tRNA from 1 species